AUACUACUCCCCCGUUCCGAAUUACUUGUCUUGGAUUUGUCUAGAUACGGAUGUAUCUAGACUCAUUUUAGUGCUAGAUACCUUCGUAUCUAGACAAAUCUAAGACAAGUAAUUCGAAACAGAGGAAGUACUAA
rfam:Triticum urartu cultivar G1812 contig703545, whole genome shotgun sequence.